GCUGAAGAGAGGAGCUUGCUCUUCUUGGAUGAGUUGCGAACGGGUGAGUAACGCGUAGGUAACCUGCCUUGUAGCGGGGGAUAACUAUUGGAAACGAUAGCUAAUACCGCAUAACAAUGGAUGACACAUGUCAUUUAUUUGAAAGGGGCAAUUGCUCCACUACAAGAUGGACCUGCGUUGUAUUAGCUAGUAGGUGAGGUAAUGGCUCACCUAGGCGACGAUACAUAGCCGACCUGAGAGGGUGAUCGGCCACACUGGGACUGAGACACGGCCCAGACUCCUACGGGAGGCAGCAGUAGGGAAUCUUCGGCAAUGGGGGCAACCCUGACCGAGCAACGCCGCGUGAGUGAAGAAGGUUUUCGGAUCGUAAAGCUCUGUUGUAAGUCAAGAACGGGUGUGAGAGUGGAAAGUUCACACUGUGACGGUAGCUUACCAGAAAGGGACGGCUAACUACGUGCCAGCAGCCGCGGUAAUACGUAGGUCCCGAGCGUUGUCCGGAUUUAUUGGGCGUAAAGCGAGCGCAGGCGGUUUGAUAAGUCUGAAGUUAAAGGCUGUGGCUCAACCAUAGUUCGCUUUGGAAACUGUCAAACUUGAGUGCAGAAGGGGAGAGUGGAAUUCCAUGUGUAGCGGUGAAAUGCGUAGAUAUAUGGAGGAACACCGGUGGCGAAAGCGGCUCUCUGGUCUGUAACUGACGCUGAGGCUCGAAAGCGUGGGGAGCGAACAGGAUUAGAUACCCUGGUAGUCCACGCCGUAAACGAUGAGUGCUAGGUGUUGGAUCCUUUCCGGGAUUCAGUGCCGCAGCUAACGCAUUAAGCACUCCGCCUGGGGAGUACGACCGCAAGGUUGAAACUCAAAGGAAUUGACGGGGGCCCGCACAAGCGGUGGAGCAUGUGGUUUAAUUCGAAGCAACGCGAAGAACCUUACCAGGUCUUGACAUCCCGAUGCUAUUUCUAGAGAUAGAAAGUUACUUCGGUACAUCGGUGACAGGUGGUGCAUGGUUGUCGUCAGCUCGUGUCGUGAGAUGUUGGGUUAAGUCCCGCAACGAGCGCAACCCCUAUUGUUAGUUGCCAUCAUUCAGUUGGGCACUCUAGCGAGACUGCCGGUAAUAAACCGGAGGAAGGUGGGGAUGACGUCAAAUCAUCAUGCCCCUUAUGACCUGGGCUACACACGUGCUACAAUGGUUGGUACAACGAGUUGCGAGUCGGUGACGGCGAGCUAAUCUCUUAAAGCCAAUCUCAGUUCGGAUUGUAGGCUGCAACUCGCCUACAUGAAGUCGGAAUCGCUAGUAAUCGCGGAUCAGCACGCCGCGGUGAAUACGUUCCCGGGCCUUGUACACACCGCCCGUCACACCACGAGAGUUUGUAACACCCGAAGUCGGUGAGG
rnacentral:rRNA from 1 species